CCUACGGGAGACAGCAGUGGGGAAUAUUGGACAAUGGGGGGAACCCUGAUCCAGCGACGCCGCGUGAGUGAAGAAGGAUUUCGGUAUGUAAAGUCCUAUCAGUAGGGAAGAAAAUGACGGUACCUAAUGAAGAAGCACCGGCUAACUACGUGCCAGCAGCCGCGGUAAUACGGAGGGGGCAAGCGUUACCCGGAUUCACUGGGUGUAAAGAGAGCGUAGGCGGGAGAACAAGUCAGAUGUGAAAUGCUAGGGCUUAACCCUAGAACUGCAUUGGAAACUGUGCAUCUAGAGUACGGGAGAGGUAAGUGGAAUUCUUAGUGUAGCGGUAAAAUCCGUAGAGAUUAAGAGGAAUACGCGUGGCGAAGGCGGCCUACUGGAAUAUAACUGACGCUGAUGCUCGAAAGCGUGGGGAGCAAACAGGAUUAGAUACCCUAGUAGUC
rnacentral:rRNA from 1 species